GUGAAUCAUCAAAUUUUUGAACGCAAAUUGCACUCUCUUCGGAUAGUAUGCCUGUUUGAGUGUCAGAAUUAAUAAAAAUCUGCGCGUUGCUCUUUUGGGACUUUCCGGAGGGUGGGUCAUCUGAUAACAACACCCUUGCAGGGUAUUGUUAAGAUGCUUAGAAUUUACCUUUUUUGUUCAUUUUAGACGUACAUAAAUUUUUUUUUAUUCGUCUGUCUUAAUGCCAAAUCUCUAUUGGAUUCGACCAUACCGUAUGGUUCCUUGUCUAUA
rnacentral:misc_RNA from 1 species